rnacentral:misc_RNA from 1 species
AAAAAGAAAAAGAAAAGAAAGCAAUAAUUUGAAUUGGGCAAGUUCCAGUUCAGAACCGCCAAUUCAAACUGGCUGAUUCUAGUGCUGCUUCAAGGGGCCCAUUAGGGAAGUUUCAUUAACCAGAGCCGUUGACCUAGGACAGCCCCAAUCCGAUUCAUUGUUCGAACCAGCCCUUGACCAGUCUAUCCCUCCUUUACUUUUCUGUAUUGAUUUUAACCCACAAGGUUUUGUAAAUGUAAUUUCCAUUCGUCAUUAGUAAAAAUUGUUGGAAGACUGAGAACUUGCUUUGAAAAAAGAGAUCUUGUCUUUCAAGAAUGACUUGUAGUUUUCCAAAAACACACUUUCCUACAAGUAUUAAUUGUUUAGAAUAUCCAAGAGUUUUCUUGUAAUGCGGAAUAUCCAAGAGAUAUUGUUUCCUAUGUAAAAUGAAUUUUCUACUCCUGCACUCCUAUCUUCGCAAUUGAGAAUUUUUAGAUCUGGGAUGUCAAAAUGAAGGAUUAUUUAAAAGCAUUUCAUUUGUGGGAUGUGCUUGAAACUAGGAGAUAUCCUCCAUCGCUUCCAGAAGAAAGUGCCGAAAGUUUGUACGCACUAGGUUGUAUUCAUUCAGUUGGACUGGUAUUAUAUUCAUAAGAAUCAUAACUUGUAAAUCUGCAAAAGAAGCUUGGCAUAAGCUUAAGGAGGAGUUCAUGACAAGUGAGAGAACUAGACAUGCAAGUUAUAAAUUUAAGAAGAUCACUUGAAGUUUAAAAAUGAAAAGACUCAGAAAAUAAAAAGAAGUAUGCUGACAGACUUAUGAAAAUUGCGAAUCAGAUUAGAUUGACGAGGUGAAGAGAUCUCCAAUAGAAGAAUGGUCAUUGUCAGCUUGCCGAAGAGAUUUGAAGCUAAAAUUUCUUCACUUCAAGACUAAGACAUCUAUUAACUUUGUCAGAUAUGAGAGCACUUAGGGAUGAAGAUGCAACUGAUGGAGCUUUUCGGCCUCAACACAAGAAUAAAGUACAACUGAGUAAUGAGGGAAGAAAGCAUUUUUCAGAAAAGAAAGAAAAUGAAGGAAAAGAAAUUGAAAGCAGUAAGAAUGGGGAAAGGCAAGGCAAAUUCCCUCCUUGUGGCGUUUGCAAAAGGACUAACUAUUUGGAAAGGUAUUGUUGGGCAAAAAUCGAAUAUGGACACUGCAAUAAAUAUGGUCACAUUGAAAAGUUUGGCAGACUCGAGCAAAAUCAAGAGUAACAACAACUGCUCAACAAAUGAACUUUGUUGAAGAUCACCAUCAACAUACUAAUCAUUUAUUCAUGGUAUCUCAAAAAAUGACAACUACAUCUAGUUUGUAUAUAGUUGAUGCACAAAUCGUAUGACCAGGGAUGUUUCUCUCUUAACUUCUUCGGAUGGAUCAGUCAAAACUAAAGUGAAGUUGGGUAUUGUUGAUAUGGUUCAGGCAGAGGGAAAAGGUUUUGUUUCUGUGCAAACCAAAAAAGGUACAAAGAUUUUCUCUGAUGUUUUAUUUAUUCCUUGCUUAAAUCAAAAUUUGCUAAGUUUAUCUCAGAUGUUGAAGAAGGGAUAUUUGGUAUUCUACAAAGAUAACUACUGCAGGGAUAUUUGGUAUUCUACAAAAAUAACUACUGCACUAUCUAUUAUCCAUGUAGUUGUGAGAUAGCUUGUUUUUAAUACGGUUGAUAAAAGUUUUCCAUUAAACUUCGAUUCUGUCAAGCAUCAUGGUAGUGAUACCAAAACUGAUGAAGAAAAACCUCCGGAUUUAGGAAAGAAUCAGCAGAAUGUGAAGGAUGAGCUUUCAAUGACUGAGAAAGAUCAAAGAUAUUUUUGGUGUACUGAAAAUCAGAUGACCUAAUGAUUGAUCUUUUAGGGAAAGCUAUAUUUGAAGAAUUAAGGAGAAAGUUUGGAGUUACAAAGAAAUUCUCAAGGAGCGUUGGAAUAUUGAGAAGUAAAAGAGCAACAAGAGAUUUUUAGCCUUUCAAGAUGACUUGCAGUUUUCCAAGAAAACGUUAUCUAAGAAGUAUUGAUUGUUUAGAAUAUCUAAGAAUUUUCUUGUAAUGUGUGAGAGUAUUUAUCUAGUUUCCUAUAUAAGGAGACCUAUUUCAUAACAAUUUGUUAAAAAGAAAAUAGAAAAAGUUUUCUUCAAAAAACUUCAUUUCUAAUCUCUUAUCAUUGCUUAUCUACUUCAAUAGUGAGAUUAAAGCAUGAAUCAGCUUAACUCCAAAAAAUUCAACAAAAAUAAAUUUGUAAUGGUCAUGUUAC